AGCGAACGCUGGCGGCAGGCCUAACACAUGCAAGUCGAACGAACUCUUCGGAGUUAGUGGCGGACGGGUGAGUAACACGUGGGAACGUGCCUUUAGGUUCGGAAUAACUCAGGGAAACUUGUGCUAAUACCGAAUGUGCCCUUCGGGGGAAAGAUUUAUCGCCUUUAGAGCGGCCCGCGUCUGAUUAGCUAGUUGGUGAGGUAAAGGCUCACCAAGGCGACGAUCAGUAGCUGGUCUGAGAGGAUGAUCAGCCACAUUGGGACUGAGACACGGCCCAAACUCCUACGAGAGGCAGCAGUGGGGAAUCUUGCGCAAGGGGCGAAAGCCUGACGCAGCCAGGCCGCGUGAAUGAUGAAGGUCUUAGGAUUGUAAAAUUCUUUCACCGGGGACGAUAAUGACGGUACCCGGAGAAGAAGCCCCGGCUAACUUCGU
rnacentral:rRNA from 1 species